AAGAACAGCAAACUGAGGCUCAGGGUAGUCGAGUGCCUUGCCCAUGGUCACACAGCAGGUGAACUCUGGAGCCAGGUGUUGAUCCCAUCCACUGAGCUGCAGUUGGCACGAAGUUCCAAAUAUAUAUACAAAUUUGGAGGCAUGAAAAUGAUAACUGGAAACUAGUCUGUGCCCACAGCCAUCAUCCUAUGUGGAGUAUACAGCGAAGAAGAAGGUUUCAUUGAAUGACAGUGUCCUUCAGAAUACGACUUAACAGAAACCCCAACUCAGGAGGCC